rnacentral:rRNA from 1 species
CCCUUAGACACUCUAGGCGGCACGCGCGCUACAAUGGGUGGAAGAACGUGUUACUGCCUCCGAAAGGAGGGGUGAAUCACGAAUUCUUGCCCGUGAAUGGGAUAGUUUGUUGCAAUUUUCGGACUUGAACUAGGAAUCCCUUGUAAACACGCUCAAGAAUAGCGUGUUGAAUACGUCCCUGCCGUUUGUACACACCGCCCGUCGUUUCUUCCGACUGAUACUCAUUGUGAGUUGCAAGGACCCUUUAUUGGGAAAUUGCUGCAAAUGCUUUGUAUUGGAGGAAGAAAAAGUCGUAACA